GGCGAGAUAGCUCAGUGGUUAGAGCUCGGAUUUACUGACCGGAUGGUCCGUGGUUCAAACCCGGGUUCUGCCU
rnacentral:tRNA from 1 species